rnacentral:rRNA from 1 species
GGGUGAGUAACGCGUGGGUGACCUACCUUCGAAUGGGGGAUAACGUUCCGAAAGGGACGCUAAUACCGCAUAACAUCCUGCCUUUGAACAGGUGGAGAUCAAAGCUGGGGAUCGCAAGACCUGGCGUUUGAAGAGGGGCCCGCGUCCGAUUAGCUAGUUGGUGAGGUAAUGGCUCACCAAGGCAACGAUCGGUAGCCGGCCUGAGAGGGCGGACGGCCACACUGGGACUGAGACACGGCCCAGACUCCUACGGGAGGCAGCAGUGGGGAAUUGUUCGCAAUGGGCGCAAGCCUGACGACGCAACGCCGCGUGGAGGAUGAAGGUCUUCGGAUUGUAAACUCCUGUUGCCCGGGACGAACGUCUCCGACCUAACACGUCGGAGAGUGACGGUACCGGGUGAGGAAGCCCCGGCUAACUCUGUGCCAGCAGCCGCGGUAAUACAGAGGGGGCAAGCGUUGUUCGGAAUUACUGGGCGUAAAGGGCGCGUAGGCGGCCUGCUAAGUCGAACGUGAAAUCCCCGGGCUCAACCCGGGAACUGCGUUCGAUACUGGUUGGCUUGAAUCCGGGAGAGGGAUGCGGAAUUCCAGGUGUAGCGGUGAAAUGCGUAGAUAUCUGGAGGAACACCGGUGGCGAAGGCGGCAUCCUGGACCGGCAUUGACGCUGAGGCGCGAAAGCCAGGGGAGCAAAAGGGAUUAGAUACCCCUGUAGUC